GGGCCCCAGUACCUGGGCAAGGGCCCUGGGCGCGUGGUUGGGAGUCCCCCGCCGCCCCGGGAGACGGGAGACUAAUGGGUGUUGUUGACGAGGCCAGGCACGCAGGCGGAGAAGAGCUGCCACUUGCCCCUCGCUCUCCAGGUGGACUCUGCGGUUUUUACCCCACGGCACAAAGUAGCCAGAAUACAAAAACUUCCUGUUUGCCACCCAGGCCUUCUCCAGCUACUGAGAACUUGUUCCGGUGAUGGAGCCUCAAAGGAAUUUGUGGAUUCCUCUCCCACAAGUGUCCAGGGGCAGGGGUGCUGUGAGAAUGUGCAGUUCACAAAGGGAGUGAGAAUGGCAGUCAAAAGAUGUAUAGAGUUAAGGGAAAGAAGAAAAGACUGAGUUGAUCUUGGGAAACCCAGCCACCAUAUUGUAGGCAGUCCUGUGAAAAGGCACAUGUGAACGAUCUCGGAAGUGGAGCUUCUGAGGCUUGCCAACAGCCACAUGACUGAGCUCAAAAGUGGAUACUUCAGAGACUCCAGCCCUGGCUGAUAGCAGAACUGCAACCCCAUGAGUGACUUUGAGCCAGAACCAUCCAGCUAAGUAACACCCAGAUUCCUGAGCCAC
rnacentral:lncRNA from 1 species